UGAAUCUGCAAGUCGUUCUCCCAGACCCCGCUUAACGAUUCCCGGCCCUUUCUCCACUCCCUACAGCCCUCGGACCCAGCAACAACCGGAUCCUGUGCAGGUCUUCCCUGAGUCCAACGCGAUUCUCCUGGAUAACGUCAACCAGCUGAGCGAUUCUGAGCCUGCGCGAAGCUCCUCGGCGCUUCCAGUAAUGUCACGCUGGUGCGUGGGGCGGGACUUCCUCUCACGCGCAGGAAACGAGAAGGGCUUUUCCGCCGGAAAGAGAGUGGAUUUACUAGGAAGGUGGGACGUUGGAGGGGUGGCCGCAUGGAGUGAGUACUGUCUCUGGCCACCGAGCAGAGCCAGUGACAGCAGCGUCCUGGUAGGCAGGCAGGCGUAUCAGGUUUCAGAGGAUGCGGCUGGGAACGGGAGUAGAGGUGAGGGGUCGUUGCAUCUGUCGCGGUGUGUAUCUUUUGGGGGUUCAGCGCCACCAGCGACUUGGGCCUCAUUCAUCGCGCUUACAUUUCUCCACCUCAUUUGAAGAACGAGCUUCGUAGCCCACGGAGCUGAGGUAUAUGAGCUCCCUGAAAGCACAAAGCAGUUAUUUCCAUCUUCAGAUCAUUCAGAGAUUAUGAAGGCACAAACCCUGCCUUCAAUUUGCUUAUAGUCAAGUGGAGCAGACACAAGUCAAUGAUUGCAGUAUAGCCACUGAAGUAAUCUAAAAGAGGUGGGGAGGCCACAGCUUAUGUGAAUGACUUUCUCAGGAGUUAUAAAGUGAUACAGACUUAUCAGCAGGUUGCAGGUGAACAUGGCCUUGAGGUAAAUCUGUCCCUUGCUGAAUACAGUUUCAGUAGAUUGUUUAUAGUAGUUUCAGGAAUUGAGAUUUUUUACAAAAAUACAAAAGUUUUGCUUGGUUCUGUUCUAGAUGUUUUCUUCUAAAUAAAUGAGAAAGAUGUUUCAACAAAGGCUCUUUAUGCUGAAUAAUUGUGAUGCUUGAAGUUGCUAAUCUGCUUUAAGUGGAUUUUAAAUGUCAGGCAAUUCUAGACAGUUUUUUCUUGGUCAAAUAAAAAUUUAAUUAAAACUUUA
rnacentral:lncRNA from 1 species